rnacentral:rRNA from 1 species
CAGCAGCCGCGGGAAUACGAAGGGUGCAAGCGUUACUCGGAAUUACUGGGCGUAAAGCGUGCGUAGGUGGUGGUUUAAGUCCGUUGUGAAAGCCCUGGGCUCAACCUGGGAAUUGCAGUGGAUACUGGGUCACUAGAGUGUGGUAGAGGAUAGUGGAAUUUCCGGUAUAGCAGUGAAAUGCGUAGAGAUCGGAAGGAACAUCUGUGGCGAAGGCGACUAUCUGGGCCAACACUGACACUGAGGCACGAAAGCGUGGGGAGCAAACAGGAUUAGAUACCCCAGUAGUCCCUGUCUCUUAUAC